GAUGAACGCUGGCGGCGUGCCUAAUACAUGCAAGUCGAGCGAACAGACGAGGAGCUUGCUCCUCUGACGUUAGCGGCGGACGGGUGAGUAACACGUGGAUAACCUACCUAUAAGACUGGGAUAACUUCGGGAAACCGGAGCUAAUACCGGAUAAUAUAUUGAACCGCAUGGUUCAAUAGUGCAUGACGGUUUUGCUGUCACUUUUAGAUGGAUCCGCGCCGCAUUAGCUAGUUGGUAAGGUAACGGCUUACCAAGGCAACGAUGCGUAGCCGACCUGAGAGGGUGAUCGGCCACACUGGAACUGAGACACGGUCCAGACUCCUACGGGAGGCAGCAGUAGGGAAUCUUCCGCAAUGGGCGAAAGCCUGACGGAGCAACGCCGCGUGAGUGAUGAAGGUCUUCGGAUCGUAAAACUCUGUUAUUAGGGAAGAACAAAUGUGUAAGUAACUAUGCACGUCUUGACGGUACCUAAUCAGAAAGCCACGGCUAACUACGUG
rnacentral:rRNA from 1 species